GAAUACAUACAAUACAUACGCACGUAGUCAAAAGGCCAAUAGUACAGUACCGCCUACGUAAACUACGAUUAUUUCUUUCUAUAAUAAGACUUACAUCUUAAGAGGAGGACAAACUUGUCUACAGAAUACUGUACAUUAAAUAUAGUCUACGCAUAGGCCUUACACUCUCCCCAGGUCCAGUGUAAUGCUAGUUUUAGUCUAUUUACAAGUUUAAUGAACCUGAGGAUGUGCGAAAUACAUUAUCAUUUCUCUCGUCCCUUGUCAAAGAAUAUGUCGCUAACAGAGGUGUGUGCCUAGUUGUGGUCUCUGUUUUUAUAUUGAAGAUUGCGAACGACAUUUACAG